CACUUGCUGCCCCCAAAGCAUCCUAGUGCUCAGUCUGUGCUGCCAGAGCCAAGGGCAAGGUCAAUGGUCUUGGUGGAGGUGUCAGGCCAAUGUGUUAGGUCCCAGACCCAGGCCCUAGAGCCUGCUCCCCUGACUACUGCAGCCCCAGGGAGAGGACUCUCCCCACAAGAUUCUCAGGAUGGGACCCCCUGUGCCCCACUCCUUGGAACACUGGCGGCAGGCCCUACUUGGACCUGGGAUGUCUCCUGGUGGCCAGAGACCUGCUUGACCUGUCCAGUCUGCCCAUCCUGGGGUCACAGCCUGUUUCCUUAUGCACCUGUCGUUGGGGACGAGCCGCAUCACAGAAGGGAGUGACAGUAGGUCAUGCCUACCGAGAACCUGGCCUGUGCUGCCCCUUCAGGCCCAGUCACCUUGGUGGUCACCAUGGUUGGGGCUGCUGUUGAGGCAGCAGCUGAGGAUGGUAUCUGGCCCCAGGUCCCCAAACUCCCAGCCAGCCACACACCCAUUUCCCUGAGUCACAGCCUGUGUUAGCUCAUGGGCAGACUCCUCCAUGGAGCCACAUACAGCGAUGUGAUCUCCACCCGCUGCCAGGUCCUCAGCAGCCCAACUUGUGGGGACCUCACCUCACAGGACCCUGCAGUCCCCUGGUGGCUUGCAGCAACCCACUCGGCACAGAAACUAUCCUCUGCCAUCAACACCUGCGAGCUUUUAUUGAGCACUGGCUGUAUGCAGAACCUGCUAAGGGUGGAAGGCCCCAGGGCAAACAGCAGGCUGGCUCUGAAGAGGCCAGUGAGGAUCUGGGGCUCCAGACACCCCAGAAGCAUGCAUCCCCCAACCCAAGACUCUUGUCCAACUGUCUCCCCAGCCCCAGCCAGUUGGAUACACAGGCGCUCGGGAGGCAGGUGACCCCCACUGAGGCUGCACCCCCAUAUGAAGAGGGUCAGACACGCAGGCUCGGAGCCCAGCCCUCCCUGGCCACAUCUAGGAUGUCCACCGGCACGUGUGCCCUGGGCCAGAGGGCGGCCCAAUGGGGGCUGGGGAUGCUUCAUCUCCUGCUCCCUGCACCACUGCCCGGUUUUGGGAUCUGGACAAGGGGACAGUGGCCUCUUCCCUCCGUGUCUGGGAAACAAGAAGCGGAGCUGCUCUUCUGGGGCCUCCUGGCUCUCGAGAUCCCUGGUUCCUGCAGCCCAGGCUGGUUCCCGGAAGGUGCCAGGAGGAGGAAGGGUGGUGGCGCUGGACCCGCGCCCGCAACAGGACCUGGCCAUAAACUGGGACAGGGUGAGGCUGUGAUGUGGACACCUGGCCCUGGCAAACUCUCUUCCAGCCUGGCCCCCAGCUGUCAGCUCUUUGCAGGAACUGGCACCUUUGUUUGCAGGAGCUGCGUGGCAUUGGCUGCCUGAGCCUGGGCAGGCUCCUCGCUGGGCCCUUGGGGAAGUGAGCAGGUGGCUCACUCCCUGACCCCGACCCUGGAGGCUGUAGACACAGAGCCCACCCCUCCCAGCAUCGGGGCAUAGGCCUAGAGGGGCCACUAGUGACCAGGCAAGGAAACGGGGGCCCAGGAAACACAGGGCAGGUGUGGAGUCCCCUUGGCUACUGGCUCAGCCCUGGGCUGGGGGCCUGAGCCCGUGGCUCACCUCUUCUGUGGCCGGGACUUGUCUUGGAUUGAGGAACAUGGUGGAUAUUGAGGCAGAACUGACCACUGUCCUUUAUUUUAGGUUUGACAGGGGCCACUGAGAGGCUGGGCCGUGGCGCUCCCUCGGCUGCUCCCUCGGCUCCCAGGCCAUGUGCCCACCAGGGGGAUUGUCAUAAUAUUCUCAUGUGAUGAAUCAUCUCAGUUGCUCCCUCCAAGGCCCACAACUCCCUUGGGACCCCAAGACCCUCUGGGGGCUGUGAGCUCUGGACACUCUUCAUAUCAAGACUGAGAAGUGAUUUGCCUUUUUCACGAGGCUCAUGUGGGGCUGAUGGUGUGGAAGCUGCUCUGGCGGAGGCUGUUGGCUCCUUGGCAAGGAUGUGUCUUGGCCCGGUGGGGUUCCCUUCCCCACCACACACGCCUGGGGGUUGGGUGGGUUGCCCUGUGACCCGGCGGCAGGUACCCCAGAUUGACCUCCAUCCAGCCUUGGGCCCGAGGUGAGGCGGGACUUGCCA
rnacentral:lncRNA from 12 species